AUUUUUUUAACAAAUUCAAGCAACACAGAAUUACGUUGGUAAGCAUUAAAAGUAACAGUCUGUUCCCCAGCAUCUGUUAACUGAUGGGCUUUUCUCACUGAUUCUUCUGAGUCAUCCCCAACAGGGGUACUUGUCCUCGGAGGCCUGAUGUCUUCGGAGCCAAAAAGAGAUCGAAUUCCCUUCAGAAGCAAAGGAAAGCUUUAUAAUUCCGUCAGAGAAUUGAGAGCUAGGAGCUUGGACUCAAGAGCACGCAGCUCCCUCUCCUCUCAGGCUGUGAGCGGGAUGCUUCCUGGGGCUCUUGUCUGUGGGAAGCGGGGGCUCAGGGCGCAGAGAGGCGGGCGCCGCCGCCAUCUUGCACUGCGGGGGCGCGCGGCCCUAGUGCUGCGCUGAGAGGGUGAGGCAGCCAUUUCGCAUCGGGACUCGUCUGCAGUGCUGUGUGGGAGCCGGCUGCUGCGGGCCGCCCUGCUGUGAGCAGGAAACUCCAACAUACAAAACUGGCUGUUACUGUUCGACAUGGUGAAAGAUAAUGAAGUUACAAAGUGGAAGAGUAAGAGAAUCAAGAGCCUUGUAAACAAGGAUAAAGUUUUAUAAUAAAAGUUUAGAUUUUAUUGUGAAAUAAUGGGGGAAAUGACUAAAGGAUUUUAGGCAGAGGAGUGACACAAUCAGCUCUUCCAAGAACGGGCUGAAGGAAGACAAGUGUUUGGGAGUGACACCGCUAGAAAGACACCAAGUCCCAGCAACAGACGCUUCCCGUGGACACACGCGAUGGCAUGGAGACGGUGGCAGGGUGUACUGCAACGACACAUCACGGGAUUUAAUGGCUGACUAGGAUAUCUGGGGUGAGAGAGAAGAAAGCGUCAAGAAUCCUGUCUGUGUUGUGGUUUGAGAAGCAGUGGAGGAGGGUGCCAUUUAUCAAGAAAAGGACACAGCGCAAGAACAGCAGGUUGAAGGGAAACAGCAGGGCUGGCGCUGCCCCGUGUGCCCGUGCGCAUGCUUAAUGUGGAGUCUUUGUGACCCCAUGGACUGUAGACCGACAGGCCCCUCGGUCCAUGAGAUUUUCCGGGCAAGGAUACUGGAGUGGGUUGCCAUUUCCUACUCUGCAAGGUAUCUGGAUGCUAAACAAGUGGGGGAAUAUCCAGAUGACAGGUGGUCAUUCAGACAUGGAGCUCAGGGAAGGUGCCUGGAAUUUAUCAACAUACAGUCAGAAACCACAGAGCCGUGAAACUGGAGGAGCUUUCUCAGACCGUCUACAGGGCGAGAAGACCUAAGGCACAGGAAGGCCACUGCUCUGGCUGCGCUCUUGGACUGUAAGGACAGAACUCAACUCUGGCAACUGAGCCUCUGCAUAUGGCUGUACAGGAGGUACCUUGUACAGUGAUAGGUUAACAGUCUUCUCAGGCAGUGUAAUUUAUUGGAGGGAUAUGAGGCAGCUCUCAAGAAUCAGAGCAGCUUAACAUUCAAGAAAAUCAAGAACCUGAACUGAGGAAAUCUCAGUAACAGGAACUUAACGCCUCUUACAUAUCAUCUGCUGGCUAGCUUCCCAAAGGAAAGGUGAGGUGCUCUUCUCAGAAAAGGGGGGGAAAAGUACAGAGUAGGCAAACGCAGCUGUCUACCCUUGGCUUUUCAGUACAUGCAUUCUUUAGGACAGUUUUAUAAAUGACUCCAUUCAACACACUGGAGAAAAUGAAUUCCAUCUUCCCAGGGGAACUAAUCUAAAAUGAUUUCUAGUUAUCACAUUCAGUGUCAAAUCUAGAUUUCUGCGUGACAGUCAUUCUCCCCUAGAUCUUAACCCCAUCUUGACAGUCUACAAUCUAUGGAGUUACUGGUAUAUAAUCAUCACCAGCACACCCAUAUGUAGUACUUUGGGGGAACACUGCCAGCAGAAUAGCUCAGUUCCAACGGAGGAAAGUUUGACUGGGGUAACUUGGGUCAGGCUCAAACUUCAGCCAGGAAAUGUGAGGGGCAAAGUACUGAAAUGGAGGAGAGGGAUAAAAAGACAAGGUAGGAAAUAUGGGUAGAAAUUAUACAGACUUAUUUCCACAGGUCACAGAGCUAGAGCCGGUAGUUCUCCUAAGGUAUGCACAGGUGGCUGGUUCCAGGAGCCCAGUGGACACCGACAUCUCAGGAUGCUCAAGUCUCCUAGGUAAAUGGCAUUCUACAGCUGGCUCUCUGCACCCAUGGGUACCACAUCCCCAUAUUUAACUGUCAAGUUUGAUCCAUGUUGGUUGAAUCCAGGUGCAGAACUUGUGGUUGUGGACAGCCAACUGCGCAUUCUGUUUUUCCUUGCCUAUACACUGUAUUUUUCCUUCAGUCAGGAGUUUUUGACUAAUGGGAAGACCUACAUUUUUAUUCCUGAGAUAUACGUGGGUUGAAAAUUUCCAAGUCUUUUGAAUCUUCCCAGAUACCAAUAUUACAUAAGUCAGUCUCUAUUCAAACUGUCUUCUCACGAAAGAUCUAAGUAAUAUGGCAAACUACCCUCAUAAUUCUGCAACUUGUAGAAUCAAUCUCCAAGUUUUAGUUUAUAAUUAAGCAUGCCUAACUCAAGUGGUCUUAACCUUCCUUAUCCACUUCAGAUUGUUCUACUAUCAAUAGCUACCUGGUCAUCCAGAUGUUUUCUCAAGAGGUACAAGAUUCCAAUGACACGGGGAGGAUCUCUACUAGCUUCUUCGCCAUUGUAAAUGGCUCAUUGCCCUCCACCCCCACCCCAGUCCAUAGACAGCAAGUGUUCCUGCUGCCUUUAAUUCAAUCAGUGCAAUAAUCAAUUCCAGAUCCCCCAUGCUUCUGAGGGUUUGAAGCCUACUAUUUAACUGUUACCAAUUUCUGUAACCAGUCAUUUGGUUACAAGCAAAAAAACCCCCACUUUGUUUGACAAAAACAGUGAAGAUAUAUGGUGGUCUCAGAAACAAUGGAAAAUCUGGAUAAUCAGGUUUGACAACAGAAACCAGGGCAUCUUUGGGGAUGUCUUCACCUAACUCCUAUGAUUUCCUUGGGACACCACAAUCAGGACUCAGUUCCUGUAAUUUUGUGUCACCUCUCUUAAGACUCAAAGUCUUGGUGGGAGGGGAAUUUAGAUUGUACAAGCGUGGAUCACACAGUCCAACCUGUCAGACAGGGGGCACGACACAAAAAUACUGUCAUUUACAGCAUCCCCACAGAAUGGCAAAGAGUAGUAUUCCGAAGGAAAAAUGGAUAUCUAUCACUAAGAAAAAGGUGGGGGUAGGAGACAAAAAGCAAUGGGUAUCUGCUAUACCAAUACUGAGAACUGAACCUACAAAGGAGCAACAGCCGGCAGGGAAGGAAGAAAAUGACACUUCAAGAGUCAGGAUGCUGGUGGGAGGUGUUUGUGCUGCUGAACAUUCAGAUGUUUAUGUAAUGGAUUUGGCAGUAGAAGGCCAUUAUUGACUUUGACUUUGCAGGAAGAUCAGAAUACUCAAAGACUUCAAGGAAAAUGUGACUUUAUCCUUCUCUCUGCCUAGUGUGAACACUGCAAGAGGUCUUAAAUAGAUUAAUGUUGGUUGAGAACUGGAAUAAUCUUUGAUGAACACCGAAAUUAUAAAGUUUAUAAGCCAAAUACACUCAGACAUUAAAAAUUAAGGAAGUUACUGAGCUCAGAAAGGUUCAAGAGUAAUCAGAUUGAGUAAUGGAUGAAUAUAUUUAUCUAAAUAUUCACUAAUAUAAAGGCAGGUCUUUUAAAUUAUUUGACAAAACAGGCUCAGUGUUAAGUAACUUGUCAAGGUCGAACAGUAAGCAGUGUAUUUUAAAAGUUCUUUAUUUUAAAAUGAGUUUAAAUGUGAGCAGUGUAAAAUAUUAAAAUACAGAAAUGUAAAGUUGAAAGUCAUGUAAUCUACACUGUUUAAGACUUUUCUAUGCAUUAUGAACAUAAACAAAUUUUUAGAUGAGUUCAUACUACACAUAUUUCUAGCAAUGGUUUGUUUCACUUAAUAAAUUAUGGCCAUUUUUCCAUGCCAGUAUGUAAUAAAUGUAUUUUGUUCUUUACGACAGACAUGUAAAUGUUCUUAUAUGGUUGAACCAGGUGUUUUAUAGUGGUUAUAACGAAUUCUUUGCUGAUAAACAUUUAGAUUUUUUACUAUAUUCUUCUACCAUGUAAUUAAUUUUUAUGCUUCUGUAGUAACUUAAAUAUGUCAGCUCUUGUUCCAUUCUAUCUUCUGGACUGGAAAAUAAUAUCAGUGUAGCUUUGACCUCUAGUUUAAUACUUAAAGAUUCUGAUAUUGGUAGACAGGUAUCUUAGGACUCAAUUUCAAGUAACUGAAACCCAACUCAAAGUAACUUAAGCAAAGAAGGGUAUUUAUUGAUUCACAUAACUGAAAAGUCCAGGGGAUAUACUAGCUUCAGGCACGGUUUGAUCCAGGGGCACAAACAUUGUCAUCAGGACUCAAGUCUCUCCAUCAUUUGGCUCCAUUUUCCUCUGUACUGGCUUCAUUCUCCGACUGGCUCAUUUGAAAUGUUGGGCCCUGUUGGUUUGAGCUUUUCAUCCUACAGAGCUAAGCAAUCUCAGUAAAGAGCUUCUCUUUCGUAGUUCACUAAAACUCUUAGGGUUGAGAAUCACUGGACCAACUUGAAUCACACGACCAAUCCUGAACCCAUCACUAUGGUCAAGGAGAUGGACUGUGUUGAUUGAUCAGGUCAGAUUGAACCAUGUGGACUGAAGAAAGGGAGAGGAAGUUCAAAGAAACAUCAGGGAGUCAUUACAAAGGAAUGGAAUGGAGGCUGGUCAAUCAAAACCAACCCAUGUCAGUGGUAAGACCAGAUACUGAAGAAGUUUAAUCUCUGCUCAUAAAGUUGAAUGGUAAUCACUGGCAUUGUUCCUUCCUUGAUGAUAAAAGUAUUCUCAAAACAAAUCAUGAGUAGUUAAGUUUGUCCUCUACUCAGGAGGCUUGUAAUCCAUCUGAAUGGAAUAAUCCUGUCCAACAGCAUAUCUGGAUGAUACAAGGGUUUCAAUGUAAGUAAACUCAGUCGUCACGAGUCUGAGAGCCCAACUGUCUUGCUGACAUGAAACAGGACAACCAGCCUCCCGCUGGCAAAUAGUUCUGUGAGACUUCCUCAAGUCAGUGGUGGAUUUUAAGUUCAGUGGGAAAGUUUUAUGUUCCUUUAAGUCUUUUGCCAAGUUGAACUGGUACAUUUCUGUGAAUACUGGUAAAUCAGAUUCAUCUCUGUAUGACCACAGAAUGGAGGAAUGGACAGUGCUUUCAAUCUGCUCUGCUCCUUCAGAUCUGGCAGAAAGGGUCCCAAGUGCUGAAAAUGAUGAUCUAAUAUAUACAGGCAUAGAGGCUUACUCUGCAGUUAAAAAAAAAAAAAAGCUGCUGGUCAAGGAGUAUGUAGCAUGCUCCUUCCUGUUGUGAACAUUAAGUCCUGUAGAGUACAGAAGUACAGGUUGCUUCUGUUCAAAACUUCUUGGUGGAACUGCAUAUAA